GCCUGACUGGCUCACUUGGAAGAGCUUGUGACUCUUGAUCUCAGGGUUGUGAGUUUGAGCCCCACAUUGGGUA
rnacentral:tRNA from 1 species